UACGAAGGGGGCUAGCGUUGCUCGGAAUCACUGGGCGUAAAGCGCACGUAGGCGGAUUGUUAAGUCAGGGGUGAAAUCCUGGAGCUCAACUCCAGAACUGCCUUUGAUACUGACGAUCUCGAGUCCGGGAGAGGUGAGUGGAACUGCGAGUGUAGAGGUGAAAUUCGUAGAUAUUCGCAAGAACACCAGUGGCGAAGGCGGUUCGCUGGGACGGUACUGACGCUGAGACGCGAAAGCGUGGGGAGCGAACAGG
rnacentral:rRNA from 1 species